UUUUGCUACUAAUAGUAGCUCAGUCCAACUCUCUCUCUCUCUCUCUCUCUAUAUAUAUAUAUAUAUAAGUGUAUAGAAAUUCAUAAAAAAAUAAAAUAAUAUUUUCUACGAAUGGUUAUGAUUAAUUUGUUAAAAAUAUCUCAAAUAAAAAUGAAUAGCUAUAAUCAAUUUAUUAAGGCUUAGUUCGGUAUUAAAGUCUAUCUAACGCUAUUAGAUAGAAUGAAGUUGAGAAAAAGUAUAUAGAGAUAUGUUUCGGCGUUCUCCGAUGGGACAGCAGAAAAUAUAUUGUAACCGACUAACCGCAAUAUGCGCAACGUAAUAUUAUCGUUUCAAACCGCACGUAACGCAAUCUCUCUGCAAUCCCGAACAAAACCUAAAUCUCUACUAUAUCAAAAUAUAUAUAUAUAUAUAUAAAUGAUUAUGAUUAAGUUCUUAAAAAUACCUCAAAUAAAAAUGAACGGUUUUGAUCAAUUUGUUAAAAAAUACCAUUUAUAUUUAUCUAUUUUACAUUAAAAUUAAAAUUAAAAUUUAAACUAUGAAUUAAAUUUAAUUUUUAAUAUCAAAUUUUAAUUAAUAAUUAAUUUUUUAAUACAGUGGAUCAAAAUUAAAUUUAAAUUUUAAAAUAAUUGUGAAUUAAAUUUUGAUAUUUUUAGUUUAGAACAUGUACUUAAAUUUAAUUAAUCAAAAAGUAUAUAAAAAUAUUUGAUGUAUAUAAAAAAUAAACACCGUAGGAUAUUGUAAAUAGUUUUUAAUAAAAUAUAAUAUAUAAAUUUAUAAAUGUAAUUUUUAUUGUAAAAUUUUAAAUAUAUAUAAUGUACAAAUUCAUAUUGAUUUGAAAUAAAUUAUAAUAAUU
rnacentral:lncRNA from 1 species